rnacentral:rRNA from 1 species
ACUCCUACGGGAGGCAGCAGUGGGGAAUAUUGCACAAUGGGCGCAAGCCUGAUGCAGCAACGCCGUGUGAGUGAAGAAGGUUUUCGGUAUCGUAAAACUCUGUCCUAAGGGAAGAAACAAAUGACGGUACCUUAGGAGGAAGCCCCGGCUAACUACGUGCCAGCAGCCGCGGUAAUACGUAGGGGGCAAGCGUUAUCCGGAAUCACUGGGGCGUAAAGGGUGCGUAGGCGGCUUAGCAAGCCAGGGGUGAAAGGCAUUGGCUCAACCAAUGUAAGCCUUUGGAACUGUUAAGCUUGAGUGCAGGAGAGGUAAGUGGAAUUCCUAGUGUAGAGGUGAAAUUCGUAGAUAUUAGGAGGAACACCAGUGGCGAAGGCGACUUACUGGACUGUAACUGACGCUGAUGCACGAAAGCGUGGUAGCGAACAGGAUUAGAUACCCUGGUAGACUGUCA